UUAAAGAACAUAUAGAUGUAUUAAUGCUUUUUUUUUUCUUUAAAUCAUUCCAAUUAUUCCUUUACUGCUCUUUACUUGGUCUUAUAAAAAGUGUGUAUAUAAUGUUUGUACAAAUUCCUAAAAAUACACUCUGUUUGCUGUAGUGCCUUACGCUGAUUUAUCACGGUGUAAAAGUGAAAUGCUUAAAAAGUCUGUUAUAGUUUGAAUGCCCCAACAGUUGUUGUAUUUGUUGUAGAUGGCAGUCCCGUUCAAGAUCCCCAAAAAGAAGCAGCCGUCAGAUCUGUGUCUCGACAUGCAGUCUCCACUGUCUCGACUGCAGGACAGCAGCUCACACGCGAAGCAGUGGGGUUCGGUCGCUCUGAAUGGAAGAACGCUUCAGAAAUGCAGUUCUAAUGGAAAUGUGCUGCGGAGAGAUUCUCAGAGGAGUGAAUCUUUGAGACCCAUCAGGCCGUCUCUCAGCGGUGAGCGGCGGGAUCUUUCACCGGGCUCACGGACACGCACCUGCUCGGAUAACAUUCCCAGAGGAGCCACACGUGGACUGAUCAGUUUUAAAAUGAACAGACAACCGAUCAAAAUCAGCCCCAUGCAGGGGAACAGGACAUCCAAUAAGGUGUCCGAGACGCCCGGUUUCAGAGCCCAAUGUCAAACUCCCACCCCGGGGAGAGACUUCACAGGAAACAGCAGGUGAGAAUCUGAGCCAUGGCGUGCUGGUCUGUGUCCCUGAUCUAGAGCUGGAGAUUUCGGUUUGAUCGAGUGGGUUUUAUAACGUCUGUGUUUAUUUGUUUCAGAUGGAGACCCAAAAGAGCAUCGGAUACUCUUCUCUGCCAUGAUGAGAACCAUACGGGCGCGUCUGAAAGCUCUUCGUUCAAGAUCCAUAGAGGCCUGGAUCCAGGGGAACUGGAGGAAGAGGAAACCGAAGGGACACAAGGCCACUCUCCGGUGAAAGAGGCACAGAGGUCGUCCACUUCAGAGGACACAGCGCACGUUUCACUGGAAGAGCGCAAAUUAAAGUCAACCGGUUCUGUCGGUGACGUCUCUAAGAACGCUGCAAGCAAAAACAAGAAUGGGACUGUGUUGAAUGAACAGUCUGUUUCGAAACUGUCCAAUCAUGAACCCAGCCUCCGCUCAGGCCGCUCUCUUCAGGAAGCUCCAGCUAGGCAUCCGAGGACCUCUGGAGAAAGAGUUGCCCCCUCUGUGCCUGUUAGAAAAGACAUACUCACUUCACCUCCAGAGGCCAAGAGCAAAGACCCCUUUGGGUCGUUUUACAGCAACAGACUGAGGAGGAAGCCCCCAGUUUUCUACAAGACAUACAAGAGAUCCAAGCCUAGCUCCACAGAGCCAAUCGUGCUGUCCAGCGAUGAUGAAGGAGCCGAUGAGAUGAAUGACGUGUCUGGGGGUUUGCAAGAGCAGCGGAUUUCUGAGGGGAUCAGGGACGCUCAGUCAGGGAACCAAAAGAGCCCAAAGACAAACGCAGGAGGUGAAACAUCAGCGACCAAAGUAGAAGUGCCUUCCAACAUCGAACUGGACUUCAGCAGACUCCAUUACGACACAUUCGAGGCGCAGGCCAACGGGACCAUUGUGAUCACAGAUGAAGGCAUCUAUGUACCACUGAAAGGUGUUGAUGGAGAGGGUGAGGUAGCCGUUAGCGUGUCAUGCUCUCAGCUGCUCUUGUACGGCGUGUGGGACGGCGGACUGGCCCGAGACGGCAGUUUGUUAUCGAGCACAGAGGAGCCCGCACCUUCUCUCCUCUUCCUCAUGGUGUCAGAUGCUCAAGCCAGGCUACUCCAGACAGAGCUGUCUGUGCUGCACACCGUACACACUUCAGGUGAGCCCUGCACAGGAGCAUUCUGGGUAGGGAUCCAUUUGAGCUGA
rnacentral:lncRNA from 1 species